AAGCACUCAGUUAUUCUCUUGGUGCGCUCAAGAAAAGCAUCAUGUUACAAAAAUUUAUUUGCACUGUUUUUACGAUUUUCGUUCUAAUAACGAUGCUACAAGCCAGUGCGGUAGAUCAAAAUAUCGAACCGAGUGGCGGCCUAAUGGAUAGCUUUUUAUCUAGCAUAUCUGAACUAUUGCCAGCUGGUCAAACUACAAACGAUUAUGUCAAUACUAUACUGAAAAUAAUGCAAGAGGGGCGUUUACCAUGUACAAUACAUUCCGUUGUCCCAUGGGAACUCACCUGUACUCAAGACGAAUAAUAUAUUAUAUAUUAUAUUGAUAUUCAAGCAAAUUUUACUUUUUUUUUCUUUCAUAUGUAUUAAAUACAUGAAUUAUAAAUCAUUGGCCAAUUUUGAAUGAUAACAAUUAUAUGGCAUACAAUUUAUUAUAAUAAAUAAACUUUCUGCAAU